CCCGCUCAGAAACUUAAAGGAAUUGACGGGGGCCCGCACAAGCGGUGGAGCAUGUGGUUUAAUUCGAUGAUACGCGAGGAACCUUACCUGGGCUCAAAUGUAUGUUGACGUAUUCUGAAAGGGAUACUUCUUCGGACAAUAUACAAGGUGCUGCAUGGUUGUCGUCAGCUCGUGCCGUGAGGUGUCGGGUUAAGUCCCAUAACGAGCGCAACCCCUAUCAUUAGUUGCCAUCAGGUCAAGCUGGGGACUCUAAUGAAACUGCCUACGCAAGUAGUGAGGAAGGUGGGGAUGACGUCAAAUCAGCACGGCCCUUACGUCCAGGGCUACACACGUGCUACAAUGGCCGGUACAAAGGGCAGCUACCUGGUGACAGGAUGCUAAUCUCAAAAGCCGGUCUCAGUUCGGAUCGGAGUCUGCAACUCGACUUCAUGAAGCUGGAAUCGCUAGUAAUCGCAGAUCAGCCAAGCUGCGGUGAAUACGUUCCCGGGCCUU
rnacentral:rRNA from 1 species